GAUGAACGCUGGCGGCGUGCCUAAUACAUGCAAGUCGAGCGAACGGACGAGAAGCUUGCUUCUCUGAUGUUAGCGGCGGACGGGUGAGUAACACGUGGAUAACCUACCUAUAAGACUGGGAUAACUUCGGGAAACCGGAGCUAAUACCGGAUAAUAUUUUGAACCGCAUGGUUCAAAAGUGAAAGACGGUCUUGCUGUCACUUAUAGAUGGAUCCGCGCUGCAUUAGCUAGUUGGUAAGGUAACGGCUUACCAAGGCAACGAUGCAUAGCCGACCUGAGAGGGGGACGGGCCACAAUGGAACUGAGACACGGUCCAGCCUCCUACGGGGGGCAGCAGGAGGGAAUUUUCCGCAAGGGGCGAAAGCCUGCCGGAGCCACGCCGCGUGGGUGAUAAAGGUCUUCGGAUCGAAAACCUUUUUUAUGAGGGAAAAAAAUAUGUUUAAUUAACUGUGCACAUCUUGACGGUACCUAAUCAAAAAGCCCCGGCUAACUACGUG
rnacentral:rRNA from 1 species